rnacentral:rRNA from 1 species
GACGAACGCUGGCGGCGUGCUUAACACAUGCAAGUCGAACGGAAAGGCCCUGCUUUUGUGGGGUGCUCGAGUGGCGAACGGGUGAGUAACACGUGAGUAACCUGCCCUUGACUUUGGGAUAACUUCAGGAAACUGGGGCUAAUACCGCAUAUGAGCUCUUGCUGCACGGUGGGGGUUGGAAAGUUUCGGCGGUUGGGGAUGGACUCGCGGCUUAUCAGCUUGUUGGUGGGGUAGUGGCUUACCAAGGCUUUGACGGGUAGCCGGCCUGAGAGGGUGACCGGCCACAUUGGGACUGAGAUACGGCCCAGACGCCUACGGGAGGCAGCAGUGGGGAGUAUUGCACAAUGGGCGGAAGCCUGAUGCAGCAACGCCGCGUGCGGGAUGACGGCCUUCGGGUUGUAAACCGCUUUCGCCUGUGACGAAGCGUGAGUGACGGUAAUGGGUAAAGAAGCACCGGCUAACUACGUG